rnacentral:rRNA from 1 species
GACGAACGCUGGCGGCGUGCUUAACACAUGCAAGUCGAACGGAAAGGCCCUGCUUUUGUGGGGUGCUCGAGUGGCGAACGGGUGAGUAACACGUGAGUAACCUGCCCUUGACUUUGGGAUAACUUCAGGAAACUGGGGCUAAUACCGGAUAGGAGCUCCUGCUGCAUGGUGGGGGUUGGAAAGUUUCGGCGGUUGGGAAUGGACUCGCGGCUUAUCAGCUUGUUGGUGGGGUAGUGGCUUACCAAGGCUUUGACGGGUAGCCGGCCUGAGAGGGUGACCGGCCACAUUGGGACUGAGAUACGGCCCAGACUCCUACGGGAGGCAGCAGUGGGGAAUAUUGCACAAUGGGCGGAAGCCUGAUGCAGCAACGCCGCGUGCGGGAUGACGGCCUUCGGGUUGUAAACCGCUUUCGCCUGUGACGAAGCGUGAGUGACGGUAAUGGGUAAAGAAGCACCAGCUAACUACGUG